rnacentral:rRNA from 1 species
AGAGUUUGAUCCUGGCUCAGAUUGAACGCUGGCGGCAUGCCUUACACAUGCAAGUCGAACGGUAACAGGGAGCUUGCUCCGCUGACGAGUGGCGAACGGGUGAGUAAUGUAUCGGAACGUACCAUUCAGUGGGGGAUAACGUAGCGAAAGUUACGCUAAUACCGCAUAUUCUGUGAGCAGGAAAGCAGGGGAUCGCAAGACCUUGCGCUGAUUGAGCGGCCGAUAUCAGAUUAGCUAGUUGGUGAGGUAAAGGCUCACCAAGGCGACGAUCUGUAGCGGGUCUGAGAGGAUGAUCCGCCACACUGGAACUGAGACACGGUCCAGACUCCUACGGGAGGCAGCAGUGGGGAAUUUUGGACAAUGGGGGCAACCCUGAUCCAGCCAUGCCGCGUGAGUGAAGAAGGCCUUCGGGUUGUAAAGCUCUUUCGGCCGGGAAAAAAUCGCAUAGGUUAAUACCCUGUGUGGAUGAUGGUACCGGAAUAAGAAGCACCGGCUAACUACGUGCCAGCAGCCGCGGUAAUACGUAGGGUGCGAGCGUUAAUCGGAAUUACUGGGCGUAAAGCGUGCGCAGGCGGUUUUGUAAGACAGGCGUGAAAUCCCCGGGCUCAACCUGGGAACUGCGCUUGUGACUGCAAGGCUAGAGUACGGCAGAGGGGGGUGGAAUUCCACGUGUAGCAGUGAAAUGCGUAGAGAUGUGGAGGAACACCAAUGGCGAAGGCAGCCCCCUGGGUCGAUACUGACGCUCAUGCACGAAAGCGUGGGUAGCAAACAGGAUUAGAUACCCUGGUAGUCCACGCCCUAAACGAUGUCAACUAGGUGUUGGGUGGGUAAAACCAUUUAGUACCGUAGCUAACGCGAGAAGUUGACCGCCUGGGGAGUACGGCCGCAAGGUUAAAACUCAAAGGAAUUGACGGGGACCCGCACAAGCGGUGGAUGAUGUGGAUUAAUUCGAUGCAACGCGAAAAACCUUACCUACCCUUGACAUGUCCAGGAGCCCGAAGAGAUUUGGGUGUGCUCGAAAGAGAACUGGAACACAGGUGCUGCAUGGCUGUCGUCAGCUCGUGUCGUGAGAUGUUGGGUUAAGUCCCGCAACGAGCGCAACCCUUGUCGUUAAUUGCCAUCAUUCAGUUGGGCACUUUAACGAGACUGCCGGUGACAAACCGGAGGAAGGUGGGGAUGACGUCAAGUCCUCAUGGCCCUUAUGGGUAGGGCUUCACACGUCAUACAAUGGUCGGUACAAAGGGUUGCCAACCCGCGAGGGGGAGCUAAUCCCAUAAAGCCGAUCGUAGUCCGGAUCGUAGGCUGCAACUCGCCUGCGUGAAGUCGGAGUCGCUAGUAAUCGUGGAUCAGC